UAAAAUUCUGCUUUCUCAUUUCAAAUGCUAGCUGUCGGAGAAAGGAAAGAUAUUCCCUUUGAAAUUGUAUCAAACUUUUCAAACAUGAUUUCGCCAAAUUAGGGUGAGUAAUGCUUUCUCUAAGCUUUUCCGAUUCCUGUUCCUUUAACCUUUUAUCGAAAUGUUUUUGUUUGCCUGUAAAAUAUAUGCUACACGGCGUAGAUCCAUGAACUUUGAAAUUCACGUCACUUUCAAUAGUUGAAGCCUACUGGUUUAGAUUAAUUUCUUUUUUUUUAAUUACUGCUGAUUAAGUCAAUGUGAUAUAAUUUAAUUUCAUGAGGUCUUGAUCACGUCUCUCGUUUAGGGUAAUGCUAAAAAAUCCGAGUGUCAAUUUGAUCAUGUUGUUCCUUUUUUUUAAUACUCGAUAUCAGUCACGAUUGGAUUAUUUUAAUUGUGUUUGGCUAUUAAUGUAGCUUAAAAUAACCGAUUUAAAGAUGCCUAAAAAAUGUAAAAUUAAGAUUAAGAAAUCAUUUGUAGGCUGUGGCUUUAUUGAAUAAAGUCAUGGUCAUUUUGUUAAAUGGAUACUGCUUGUUGUUGAAGUUGCUUUAAUCAUGCAGGAACAGGUUGAUUUUGUUAGAUUUUCGUUUACAGCUUCUUGUUUCACUUGGCGUUAUUCUCAACAGACCACCAUCCAUGGAGGUUGUAUUUUACUUAAGCAUUUUGUUUAUGAAUGCAGGACAAUAACUGUUUGUACAUGUUAGAUAAGAAUCUGUCUGCUUAGGUAUUUGUAGUGGAGGUUAAUGUUUUAUUGACAAGUUGGGUAAUACCUUCAGAAUGAAGCAUGGGAACUCAGUUGUAGGACCCAUAGAAAGUCCUGCAAGUUAAAAGGUAAACUGUUAUUUCUCGAAACAAGUAAAAUGAUGAGAAAUACUUAUGAUUAGAUAGCAAUGUGCAACUUGCCGACCAUGUAAUCAUUUAUCAAUUACAUAGGAAAAGGUAAAGACUAAAUAACACGGUUUUUCCUACCAGUUCACAUUCUUAUUAAACAUGAUGACAAUUAAGUUGAGUCAAUAUUUAAAUGAUUCUAAUCUUGUCAAUGACAUUGUUUUGAUGAGAGUCUGUUGUAUUUGUCUCAUAAUUUAAAAAAUUGGGUGGCAAUAUGGCCGACAUGAUAUUAACAGAUGCUUGGGAAGUACGUUUCACUUCUUUAUAAUAAGACAUUGUCUAAUGAAGACGGAAGUGGUGUUUAAAGGGAUGGGGUCCAGCCAAUUGAUUAACCUCCUCUAUAUCUGGUUAGAUUGUUAAGUUAGAAAUAUUGCAUUGGUAACAGACUGAAAGUACUUGAAGUGUUGUAAGCCAAGAAGGUAUUGAAUGGAUAAGAUCGUAUGAUAUGAUUAUUCUUAUGAUUUACUAAGGGAUCAACGCAUAAUUAUACAAUCUGAGACAAUAUGAUGUUCCAUAAAAUCAUUAAAUAGAGCAUAUGCCAUUAAAUUUUUGGAAAACAGCCUAUGAUGUGUGUUAUUUGCUGGAAGAAAAAACAAAAUAUAGCUGAACUUUGUAUGAGUGAUCAGAAUGAGAUAGAUUUUAAGAAAUUAGUUUAUUUCAGUUUACAUAAGGCUAGUUGUAUAAUUUAAAUAAUCACGUUUAAUUGUGGAGAAUAAUGAACCAAAAAAAAAAAAAAUGAAGUGAUGAGAGGUUUGUUGAUGCAUGAGUUACUAGAAAUAAUGUCAAGGUAAGUUGCCUUAGCGUUGAGAAUGGUUGAACAUAUACCAUUGUAGCUGAUCAGAUCUACAAAGUCAUUUAAUGGGGUAAUCAUGUAUAAGUGGAGAAAAUGUUUGAGAGUUGACACGAUAUCUGGUUUUGGCUAAACUAGCUAUAGGUGAAAAGGGGAGGCCAAAAAUGAGUUGGCAAAAUGAACGACCAGAUUAGUGCAUGUGUUGAAAAAAUGAGUUGUUCUUGGCCAAACAGAUAGAAGAAGAAAGAAUUAGAAG
rnacentral:lncRNA from 1 species